GCUUCCAGCCUUUUGGAUUCUCAAGACUCUUGUUCAGAUUUCGGUGAUACCCAGGUGACUGUUCAUAUUUCUUAAGAAGACUGUUCAUGUUUUCAACCAUUCCAACUCUCGAACUCGAAGUACCGUUUCCUGUAAAUCUCCAGUCCCUCUCUUGUUUUUUCUUCAUAAUCCUGGUUCAAUUCUUAAUGAUGAAGAGGCAAAAGAGCAUUGCCCCUAAUCGCCAUCACAACCUUCAAUCCUCAUCGACGAAGCCACGAAGGGAUUUUAUUAGGAUCAUUGUCAAAACUGAAUUGUAGUGCCUGCAAAUCAUCGAAUAUGAGUUUUUGCUUGGGUAGAACGCUUGGAAUAUGCAGUGGGCGAAAGGGUUUUCAAUAUUUUGGGGUUUCCAAAAGUUGGAAAAAGGAAAUUGAUUCAAUAUGUUGUAGUCUGGUUAGGGCUCGAUCAUCUCUCAUCUACUCAUUCCAAUUGAGAGAGAGUAAACGAAAGCUUGAGGAGUUAUUACAGAAGUGGUCAGAAUGGCAUACUCGACAUCGUUCUUCAGCUCGUACUUUGAUGGAAGAUGAGCCGGAAAAGUAUCAGUCUCGCUUCUCUGAAUACAUUAAAGCUGGAGUUGACCCAGAAAACAUUGAAGAGCUGUACAAGAAGGUGCAUUCAGCCAUUCGUUCUGAUCCAACCCCAAAGAAGUUGGAGAAAUAGCCUCCAAAGGAGCACACAAGAGGUUCAACUUGAAGAAGCUAACAUAUGAGGAGAAGAAGGAGAAGCUUAUUGAGAAGUUGAAUGCUCU